AUUGAACGCUGGCGGCAGGCCUAACACAUGCAAGUCGGGCGGUAGCACAAAGGAGCUUGCUCCUUGGGUGACGAGCGGCGGACGGGUGAGUAAUGUCUGGGAAACUGCCUGAUGGAGGGGGAUAACUACUGGAAACGGUAGCUAAUACCGCAUAACGUCGCAAGACCAAAGAGGGGGACCCUCGGGCCUCUUGCCAUCGGAUGUGCCCAGAUGGGAUUAGCUAGUAGGUGAGGUAAAGGCUCACCUAGGCGACGAUCCCUAGCUGGUCUGAGAGGAUGACCAGCCACACUGGAACUGAGACACGGUCCAGACUCCUACGGGAGGCAGCAGUGGGGAAUAUUGCACAAUGGGCGCAAGCCUGAUGCAGCCAUGCCGCGUGUGUGAAGAAGGCCUUCGGGUUGUAAAGCACUUUCAGCGGGGAGGAAGGGAGCAGGCUUAAUACGUCUGUUCAUUGACGUUACCCGCAGAAGAAGCACCGGCUAACUCCGUGCCAGCAGCCGCCGUAA
rnacentral:rRNA from 1 species